rnacentral:misc_RNA from 1 species
GUGGCAGGCAUCACCAUUUCUUCUCCAAAACCCGCAAUCUUAGAGAAUCCAAUCUCCCUAAAAGAGCCAAAUUCUAGUUUUCUCGGUGGUUCCUUCAAGGGUCUUUCAUUACCGUUAAAACCCUGAAAUAAGAGAAGAGAUAACAUCAGUUUGGUGGCUGAAAAAAUCAGUACCCCUCCACAACUAGCACCAACAGCACCAGUCGCGGCAGGUUUUAUCUUAACAUUACAGGGUUUCCGUUCCCUCUUGGUCCUUUCCUCAAUAGACGUACUAUGAAGACUGAGGUGGAGACCAUGAUUUUAACAAAGUCGAACAAGAGCAAGCAUUAGGCUUAAGCAGUGUGUCAACAAACAUUCGAAUGACAGUUAUCAAACUCAAAUCUAGAGGAUUAUGGAUCCAUGCACCCAUUGCUCCAACCAAGAAGUGUUUUCAGAAUGUAUUAGCAAGGAAUCCUUGUUAGCAUCAGCAAAGAAUGGCUUGGCAAAACUUCUGAGUAAAGGAAAAGAAGUCCCUGAGGAACCCGUUGUUGACAAUCAGAUGAACCGUCAAAAAGGGUGGGAAAGAAUGGUUCUCCAGAUCUUGUUUCUUGGCCCAGCCAACCUGUUGGAACCUAAUGCUAGUUUUGCUCAAAUGUCACAAAAAUUGAGUUGAUUGUAUCCCCCAUUGUGAAGACUCUAGUCUUCAGCAAAUUUCCUGAUAAGGUCAGGGAUUGGAUUGAUAGAAUUGCUCGGGACUGGAGAUUCAAGAGAAUUAUCCCUGCUCAUUUUGCUGCUCCAAUAAAUGCAGGCAGGGCUGAUUUCUUAGCUGCAUUUGCUGUCCUAUAUGACCUUUUGGGGGAACGUUAUUUUACCUGGCCUUCACUUUCUCUUCUAUUCACAUCACUUAUGGGAAAGGCUGCCAGUUACUUCCCACCUGAUGACAUGAAGACCUUAUCAUCCCUCGAUCAAUUUUUAGUCUCAGUAGGAGCUGUAAAGAAGACUGUCUCAGGACGGAA